AAAAAAAGGCAGAGAAAAUUUGGUUUCAGUUUCAGUUCAUUGCUUGGAGUUACACCUGUUUCCACCAUCGAGAAAUCCAAAAUCAUCCUGUGCUUCCAUGGAAAGGGGAGCUGGGGAGAACAGGAGCGGCAGGUCCUUACAAUGCACUGGGAGUUAGGAGCAUGACUGAGCAUGCUCUCUACAAUGUUG